UACAGAGGUCUCAAGCGUUGUUCGGACUCAUUGGGCGUAAAGGGUGCGUAGGUGGCGCGCUAAGUCAGGUGUGAAAUUUCGGAGCUUAACUCCGAAACUGCAUUUGAUACUGGCGUGCUUGAGGACUGGAGAGGAGACUGGAAUUCACGGUGUAGCAGUGAAAUGCGUAGAGAUCGUGAGGAAGACCAGUGGCGAAGGCGGGUCUCUGGACAGUUCCUGACACUGAGGCACGAAGGCCAGGGGAGCAAACGGG
rnacentral:rRNA from 1 species